rnacentral:rRNA from 1 species
AUUGAACGCUGGCGGCAGGCCUAACACAUGCAAGUCGAGCGGAUGAAGGGAGCUUGCUCCUGGAUUCAGCGGCGGACGGGUGAGUAAUGCCUAGGAAUCUGCCUGGUAGUGGGGGAUAACGUCCGGAAACGGGCGCUAAUACCGCAUACGUCCUGAGGGAGAAAGUGGGGGAUCUUCGGACCUCACGCUAUCAGAUGAGCCUAGGUCGGAUUAGCUAGUUGGUGGGGUAAAGGCCUACCAAGGCGACGAUCCGUAACUGGUCUGAGAGGAUGAUCAGUCAAACUGGAACUGAGACACGGUCCAGACUCCUACGGGAGGCAGCAGUGGGGAAUAUUGGACAAUGGGCGAAAGCCUGAUCCAGCCAGGCCGCGUGUGUGAAGAAGGUCUUCGGAUUGUAAAGCACUUUAAGUUGGGAGGAAGGGCAGUAAGUUAAUACCUUGCUGUUUUGACGUUACCAACAGAAUAAGCACCGGCUAACUUCGUG